GGGGUUGUGGUUCAGAGAUAGAGCACUCACCCAGCAUGCGUGAGGCCCUGGGUUUGAUCCCCAGCACCACA
rnacentral:tRNA from 1 species